UUAAUGUAAGUGCUGUUCUGGUUUCUUCAUCAAGCCAAUCGUUUGAAGAUCAGCAAGGCCAGCAAGUUUUAAACGCUUUAAAGACUGACAGCGCCCUCUGCCAAGGUCUAAGAGCAGAUUGAAGAUGGCCUACCUGCCUUUUCCUGCUCCUGUUCAUGUUGGGGUAGUGACAUCUGGAGGAGAUAAUGCUCAGCUGCACAGAUUCACUUUGGAGAGGAACCUGAGCAAGAUGGAGAAACUGCUGAAGACAGGUGUGGAUGUGGACUGUAUUAACCACCAGGGUCAGACUCCUCUGUUCUGUGCUGCUCUGUGGGGACAGGUGAAGGCAACGGACCUGCUGCUGGAUUAUGGAGCUGACCCCAACCAUCGCUGUGAGGACCGCAGCACCCCGGUCCAUGCAGGUGUGUUCUCCUGUAACCCCUCGCUGGUGAGCAGUCUGCUGGAUGCUGGAGGAGACCUGAGACUCCAUGAUCAUGAGGGCCGGACCCCCUUUGACUGGCUUAGAUCUGCACCACUGGAGGGCAGGACCAGGAUGGAGGAUUUCCUGCAGAGCUGCAUGUUCUCCAUGCAGCAGCUGUUUCUGAGUCCAGACAAGACAGAGAUAGGCCGUAGCGCCCCCUACAGCUCAACCUCCAGUCUGCUACAGCCCGCGUCUCUGCUGGAUCAUAUAAUACCACGCAACAAAAAGUUCAACAAGAAGACGAUGAGCAGGUGUUCCUCUACAGGAGCAUUCUGUUUGGGCUUUGGAAAGCUGUGUGUGAACCAGACCUGUGCAGGUGUGUCUGUUCCUGCAUCAGUUCCUGUGAUUGGCAACACUGAUCUGACUCUCUCGGAUGAUCAACCUCUGCUCACCUUCACCUGUGGACCUCUGACCUCCCUGACCAGGUCCAGCUGGAGGGGCUCCACUGUGUCAGUAAAAUCACUGAGAGACACUCAGACAGAACACCGGGACCUGCUGAUCACAGAACUACAGUACUGCAGCCAGCUGCGCCAUCCUCAGCUGCUGCAGUUGAUGGCAGUCAGUGUGUCCGAUGAUCUCCUCGGAACAAGUCUGGUGUUUGAGCCGGUCGAUGUUGGCACACUGAACAACCUGCUGCAUAUCAAGCGAGCAGAGUUUCCAGUCCUGCAGGAAAGUUGGAUCCUGUCAGUGAUUCUUCAGGUCUGUGAGGGUCUGCAGUUCCUCCAUAGGGGGGCGCUGGUGAUGAGGGCCCUCUCUUCACACAGUGUUGUCCUCACAAAGCUCACUGUGGCCAAACUAACCGAUUUAGGCUUCAUGAUCCCCAGCAAGGAGACCAAAUGUGACAAACCCCCCCACCAGAUGCCCCUCCCUCCCCGCCUGUACAGGUGGGCCGCUCCUGAGGUCAUCAAACAAAGACCGUGCAGAGAGGAGGCUGACAUCUACAGUGUGUGUGCUCUGAUCCUGGAGCUGUUCACAGAUGAAGAACCAUGGGGCACAGUGGACCUGAACAGGAUCAAACAGGCAAUGGAUUCAAGUCAGACCCUGGCAGUACACAGUUGUGUGCCUCAGCCAUACAAGGACAUGAUCCAGAGAGGCCUGCAGCUGGAGCCACAAAACCGAACCUGCAGCCUGCAGAAUCUGAAAGAAACCCUGCAACAGGACAUCAAGAGGCAUUCUGUGGAGGAACAGCCGAGGGGUAACCCAGAAAAAGAUCCUGGGCCUGGAGUCCAGACCACCACCAGGCAUACCACAAUGGAGGAACCAAUUCACAGAGGUGGGGGGACAACUUUAAGUCCAGUCCUAGCCAGGACAAACACAGAAGAGGAGAGACAUGAACUCAGAGUGGAUCAGCUGGACAGAGACAGAUACAAACACACAGGAAGAGAUCCCAUGCUCCAUUACUCACACAUCCCUCGUCUAUCUGGCGAGUCUUACUCUGGCAGUGAUGAAGAAGAGUUUUACUCUGGCAGUGAUGAUGAAGAGUCUGGCUCUGGCAGUGAUGAUGAAGAGUUCGACUCUGGCAGUGAUGAUGAAGAGUCUGGUUCUGGCAGCGUUCAUGGAGAACCUGAAACAGAGACAGAGGAGCAGACAGAUGAUCUGAGGCUGCCCACUGUGGAUCAGCACAUCAGCACGAUACUAGUGAACCUCAAAGUGUCGAAGGAGCUACUGCAGCAGGCACACAGGAGCCUGGACACAUUGGAGAAACACCACCAGCUGGUCCUCAGAGAGCAGGAUCAGCUGGACUCUGUGACUACACUCAGAGAUGCUCCUCCCUGUAUCCAAGACAACAUCUCCUGCGCCUCCUCCUUCUCCAUGUCCUCAGCAGAUCUCUGUGGACUCAGUGCUGCAGUUGGACCUCCUUCAGAGCGGUACAGUCUCCCCCAUCAGAGGGGAGGUUACCAGAGAGAGAACCUGAUGGCCCAGCUUCUGAGCAGAGACUUUAAGCUGCUGAGUGAAGAUGAGCUGUCCGUAUGGAUGAGUCUCUAUCCAGUUGAGCAACACAGUGAGCAGAGCCGGCCUCUUCCUGGUCUGUCCUCACAGAAACCUGAUCCGUGCUCAGAGGAGCAGACCUGGUAUGUUUCAGCUAUGGAUGACAGCUUUGAGAGGAAGCAGCAGACAUCCAGCUCAGAGGAAGAUGCAGAUACAACAGAGGAGGUUCGCCGACCAGCAGCUACUGGGUCUCAGCUGCAGGAUACUCAAAAUACCAAGUACCAGAGUUUCUCUAGACAUUGUGAGGAAACUGACCCUGAUGCUGCUGUCACAGCCAACACCAACAUGACUCGGUCAGACAUGGCUCUGUUGGCUGAACUGUCCAGCAUCACGUGUUCUCCAGCUCGGCCUCAGCAGAAUUUCUGCGGUCCCUCUGUGAACACACCAGCCCUGCCCUAUAACAGCACCCCCCACUGCCCAGAUUCUUAUCGGCAUGUGAAGAUUAUGAAGGCCAAUCUCCCAGAAUCCCCUGCAUGCAUCUCCUUCAACUCUUUAAAACUGGGGCGUUUCAACACAGCGAAAGAAAACACAGUAAAGGGAUCCAACAGUCCUCAGCCUGCACCCUUCUGUGUGGACUCUCCCUACAGUCCUCAGACCUUCAUCACUGCCAACCUGCAGGAGGACACUCCAUCUCCACUCUCUGCGGUCCAAAGCACAGAGAAAGAGGAGCACAGGCGACGACCAGAGGAGGAAGUAGAGACAGCAGGAGGAGCCGAGCCAGAGCAGGAGGAAGAGAAUGGAACCAGCCACAAACAUCCAAAGGCACAUGUGGAGGAGGAAGAGGAGGAAGAGGAGGAGCAAGAUGAAGAGGAUGGAUUCAGCUGCAAAUUUCUGCAGCUACAUAUGGAGGAGGGAGAAGAGGAGCGAGAGAAAGAGGAGCAUGCCAAAGACGGCAGUGAUGAAGAGGAGGACACGGAGGAGCAGUUUGAUGAAGAGGAAUGUAGUUGGAACUUCGGUGAUGAAGAGGAGCUUGAUAAUGAGGGCAGUGGUGAAGAAGUUUUUGCUAAAAAAUGCAGUGAUGAAGAGGAGGUCAUUGUAGUAUGCAGUGAUGAAGGGGAGCUUUUUCAAGGAGGUAGUGAUGAAGAGAAGGCUAUUGAUGUAUGCAGUGAUGAAGAGGAGGCUGUUGGAGAGAGACGUGACGAAGAGGAGGCUGUUGGACAGCGCAGUGAUGAAGAGCAGGGUGGUGUGUGUGACCUACAGAGAGUGAAGUCAGAAGAGGAGGAUGAUGGUAACAGGAGGAAGAUUGUGUCCCCAGUAUUUAAAGAAGAAGCACAUACAGAUGUAGGGGUGUCACUGUUUGAUGCAGAGAAGGAGGAUACACACCUGGAGUCACAUUACAGUUCACUGGAGGACACCAACAGGGCUCACUCCACCCUUGACGAAGUUCUGCAGGAGUUGAUCAAUGAGGAGACCACACAGAGUCCAGAAGGAAAUGCAUUAGGGGAGGUUUUGAGUGUGUGUGUGUGGGGGGGGAUGCAGCUACAGGAGACUGUGAUGUGUUCAGGAGUGACAUGUUGAACAGAGCUUUACACCACCAUCACACUCACUCAGUGAAAGUGUUCAAACAUUGAUCAUGUGGAUAUGCACAUUGGCAAAGAUAAAGAAGCUGUAGUCCAGAUACAGUAUGUGCUGGGAAAAACACAGUGCAUGCUGGGACUUAGCUUCAGAUUGAAUCAAGGUUCAAAGAAGCCGUGAUAAACGCAGCUGGACAUGACUUUAAUGAUAAGAAGUGAACACACAGUGAACCUGCUGCAACACAUUUAAAAUCCUUCACUGAACAUGAUGCAGAAUGACGACCCCUGGUAUAACAGCUCAACAGCCACAGUCUUCAUGUUAUUACUGUUUGAUUCAUAAUGUGUGAUUGAACAUGAUAUCUCUUUAUGAAGAUAUAAAGAGCCGGAUGAUUAUCACUACUCAUAGGAAUUCAAUGAAUCUGAAAACAAAAGUGUUAUAAUUAUUGUUGUAUAAUAACAGAUCUUUAUAUUUUCACGAUCAUUCAUUUAUUUAAUGUAUUUCUUUGUUAUUUUCCCAAACAGAUCUCUGACUGAUCUGUCAUCAGCUCUGCUCUCUGAUCCUUUAUUUAGUCAAUAAAUACUGACACUGUGUGUAUGUGUGUGUAUGUGUGUGUGUGCAGGUGUGAUCAGGCAGGUGAUCAUGGAGGAAACUCAACAGGACAGAAAAACAGUCAACUGGAGUGACACAGCUGAGGACACAUGCACUCACCUGGUGAUGUUUAUCAUACUGGAGUUAGUGUCACACUCAGAAACAGGAUGUUUCAGUAUAUUUGAAGUGGGGUUGUAUGAAGUGUAUGGCCUACAGGGGAUCCCGCUCAGCUUGGCUCCUGUAUUCAGACCUGUGACACAGCAGCUAUUCUACAUGAUGUAAAAUAUAUUCCUGCAUGUAAUGUUUUCUCUGCUGGUUGUGUUUACAGUUUAUUGUCAGUGUCAAACACAAAGACUGUCAUCAUCAUCACACUGUUCAUGGACCCCAAGGUCUCUGUUUAAUUUCACCUCUAUCAUCCUGUUUCACCUGGUGCAGAGUUAAGGAGGACUGAAGGAGUGCUUCAGGACUCUUCAUGAACGAACACACCAGAGGAAAUGUUCUUUAUGUUAGUUUAUUCACUGAUGUUCUAUGUGUUAAAAUAAUUUGUUAGCUUAUAAUCUGCUGUUAUAUUUUAAGCCACUUUUCUUUUUGUACAAGUACAAUGUGUUAUAGCUUCCAGUAAAGGCAGAAGUGACUUGAGGAUUUAAAGAUUAAAUUCAGAGUUCAAAGUUUGAA